CUUCAUUCCGGAAGAAAGGUUUAUGUCUUAAAAGCUUUGCAACAUCUCCAUGCUGCUCUAUUCCCCGCGGCCAAUCGUGCGAAAGGAAUAUAUCGAUGGGCUUUUGUAAUGACUUUAGGCUCAGAACGUCAAAUUCCCGGGUGUGAUAAAUACUCUUUAGCAUUUUAUAAUUGUACGGAAGCCCUUCAUAACGUCCUAUUAUAUGUUACUGACUGCUAUCUUAAACCAAUUUUUUUAUACCUUUUUUGUAAUCCAUUGCACUGUAAAUACCGCUAAUACCGGCGAUUCGUAAACCACCGACGUUAAUUACUGAAGAUCUUCCCAUAUAAUAUAUGUUUGGGGCUACCCAUCCUCCGUAAGGCCUGUUGGCGCAUUGUUAAUAGCACGUCUUAGUUUCGUCCACUUACAGUUCAUCCAAAUAGUUACUGGCUUCAUGAUUUCCACCAACGAAUAUUGUUAGUAUCGGUGCUUUAUUUCUACCAUUAUAGUAGUUAAAAAAAUCGCCUAGUCGCUUGAACUUUGGAGGCAUUGAUAUACCAUGAUAGUCUGAUACAUUUCGCAAAGCUUGGAAAUCCCCUCCGAUAAUUAACAAAUCUACUUUUCUUUUUUCCGCUAAUAUGUACAGAUUAUCUAAAAUCCCAUGACAACAUCCUUGCACGCCAACGCGCAUUUUUAGGAAGGCAGGUGGUGGUUUUAAUCUUGCAAAGUACGACAUGAAUUAGAUGACCAUUGCAAACGAGUGUUUAAAAGUUCAGCUCACUUAUAACAAUAAUUUUGAAAUGUAAAUUAAUUUUUUCAAUAAAAUAACUAAAUAAUCUAUUUCAU